CCCCCUUUUCAAAAACUUUCUUUACUUGUGAUUUCAAACUUAGACCUUAUUUCAAGUAAAACCUUUAGCUUUAUGCCAUUGAAUUUUCAAACUCUUUUCUUAAAUCAAUCUUGUAAAUGAACUUAACCAUAUUUGACUUAAAACUUCAAAAGACAAAAACAACUAACACCUAUUCAAAAUUUUGGCCCCUUUUGUGCCCCUUUUUUAUUAAAUUUUUUUUAUUAAAAGAAACUCACCCAUUUUGAAAUUGUUACCACGAACUACGAGAUUUUGAUCCCUCAUUUUUAUAUUGGUACGUAGGCAUAAGUCCGAAGGACUUGUCAAAGACAAAAAUAUAAUCCAUAAAUUCUUUUCUCAUCCCCACACUCUAGUUAUUCUCAAACAUCUUUUAUACCAAAAACACAUACACACAUAAAAAAGGGCUCCCUAGGAGCACCUAGGACACUUUGGGUGCCAACACCUUCCCUC
rnacentral:lncRNA from 1 species